rnacentral:rRNA from 1 species
CAGUAGCCACGGUAAUACGAAGGGUGCAAGCGUUACUCGGAAUUACUGGGCGUAAAGCGUGUGUAGGUGGUUGUUUAAGUCUGUCGUGAAAGCCCUGGGCUCAACCUGGGAAUUGCGAUGGAUACUGGGUCACUAGAGUGUGGUAGAGGAUAGUGGAAUUUCCGGUGUAGCGGUGAAAUGCGUAGAGAUCUGGAGGAAUACCGGUGGCGAAGGCGGCCCCCUGGACAAUACUGACGCUGAAGCACGAAAGCGUGGGGAGCAAACAGGAUUAGAUACCCGCGUAGUCCCUGUCUCUUAUACA